AAAACUGAAAAAACAAAAACCAGCCCUGUAUAAAAUGCUAUCUAAGUACCAUGCUUUAUAGUGUCACUGUCAAAACCAAUGAAUUACGUCAGUGCUUGAACAUGUAUCAGUUCCACCCUAGCAGGCUACAAGAUGAAUUGCCAUUCAAUGAGGCAAAUUCCAUGUCCAGAACACAGCCUGUGAUUUAAUAGCUAAUCUCAAUCAAGGGUCAUGAAAUGAAGAAGAGAAUUUUGAUUGAAAAUAAGGCAAAGAGUCAUUUUCUUAGGCAUUGUUUGCAAAGCCUAGUCCUUCUGUCUUGAUCAGCUGAAAAGUCUUGAGACUAUCUUUUGGGAAUGCUCCUCAUCAGAUUGUUGCUUUGACUGACCUUCCAGAGGAAAGUAGGAGAGUUUGUAUUUUCCUGCUCAUCUUGUUUUGUAGCAAUUGUCCCUGUUUUCCUUGAUGCUUUCUGAGCUUAUACCCAUGAGUCUUGUUACGGGAGAUGCUAUAAAGGCUGAGCUUCCUCUGGCUGCAAAAGGAACUCUGCUGCUGCUCAAUACUUUACUGAUUUCAGCCUUAUGCUUUACUGCCCUCUGAUAUGUCUAGCUAGUGUCUCGACUUUAAUUUUUGCUUUUUCUUGCUGAUAGCUCUGCUGAUCAGCUCCAUUAGAUAUGAUGGAAUUUGGUUCUGUGGAAAAUAAUGUUUGUUGAAAGGGAAAAACUGUCCUGAAGAUUUCUUCUGGAAUGUUGAAUGGAAUUUCGCUUGCAUGUAUUCGGAAGGAGUGGAGUCCCUGACACUGCUGAAGGUUUUCACUAAUUACUUUGUGAAGCAAGUUUUCAAGAAGUUCUUCAGGAAAGCAUCCAGAACGUCAAAGCACACGAAUGGAUUCCUUUAUGGAUUCUGCGGUAUUCGGUCAUUGUUAAAAGCAGAGGAAUUAUCAAGUCCAAAGGCUAUAUCAUGCAAGCUAAAAGAAACGCCUCUUAAAACGCUUCGUCUUUUUUUAUUCUUUGAAAUGGCCUACUGUUUUAAUUGCUGGGGGAUGGGAGGAACAUGCCUUUUUCAUAGAGAGACUUUUACAUCAUUUAUAACAAAGACCAAAAGUUGUAAUUAUUGAGUAUGAUGUCAGAAGGAGCAUCUGCAAUGUUCUAAUGAUUUAUUUUUUUAAUGUACUGACCAGUUCAUUAAAAAUGUUUUGGUUUUACUGGUGAAAUGAUCUAUAAAGAAACAGCUUAAAAUAUUUCUUUUUAUGACCAGUUCACUGUAGGAGUUCUGAUUAUAUUUUAGCUACCACUAGGCAGUAUAGAGAAACAUAUAUUUUUAAAUUUAAUUUCUCUUUAAUAUUUACUAAUCUGGUAGGUACACAGAUUUCAAACAUUCAAUGACUGAUUUUUAUAGAAAAUUGCCAUCUUUCAUGGAAAAAUUAUUCUAAAUAAACUAUCUUUACUUCAUAUGUAUAUAGGCAGAUUAGUUGUUUAAUUUGUGUGGAUGGGAAAAAUUGGUUUAUUUUUAAUAUCAUGUUUAAAAAAAAAAAGCAAUCCUCUGAUUUAGAAAAGAAGCAUCUUCCAAAUUGCUUUACUUUUUAUUACUUGAAUUCCUUCUGUCUUUUGUGCCUCUGUGCUUUUAGUACUUCACAAGUGAUGGCAUCUUCACCAUUUCAAGUAGAAAAUGUUUCAUUGUAGUCUUUUAAAAUAAGAACUGGAAACAAAUGAUGAGAAAUGUGUUAAUCAGAAAUCAAAUAGUACUUGCUUUGUCCUCAGCUGUGUGUUUGUUCUUCUAAUGUUAAGGAGCUAUGCAAUCCGAAUCAGCCAUGGCAGAAACAGUGGGAAAUGUUAAGGCUGCUGACUGUGUGAUCAUGUAAAAGGGAUGAUAAUUCUGGGGAUUGCCUUGGAAAUGGCCUUGUUUGGGUGCCAUUCAGAAAUGAAGCAGACAAAGAUUGUCUUAGACUUAGAUAUCUUUCUGUUUGGCAGUAACUUAAUGGUCUGCUUUUAGAGUCUUAGGGAGAAAUAGCUGCAGCUCAGGCCGGUUUAAUGUGCUCUGUUGGAAAGACCUUUAAAUUUCCUUGGCAUUUAAAUCAGAAUAGAUGGCAAAAAAAAAAAAAGCUGUCUGUUCAGCAGGGGCUCUAAGUGUCUAAAAUCCAAUGCUCAUUUUCCUCUGGAUUUCAGGUGGGAGUUGCUGCUAGUACUUCUUACUAGUACUAGUUAAAUUAUUUGUACAUAUUUAUUUUGAGCUUUGGGCUGUGAGGAAACUAAUUUCCACCAUUUUUUAAAUUCUGUUGUGCAGGCAGCGGGUGGAAUCUGAGUGCUUGUAGGCACUGUGUGGAAAUACCAGCUCGCUAUGAACUGUUCCACUAAGUUACAGAAUGAUUCUUUGAGGUACCUUUAAGUUCUUCACUAUCUUAUGUGUAUAUGGCAAACCCUAGAAACGUGGAUUUCUAUUACUGCUUCAGUUGUUUUGAUAAACGAGAGGCAGAGAAUUUGAACCAGUAAUGCAUCAAUAAAAUGUUCUGGGUUUUUUUUUCCUCCUAAACAAAAUGUAGGGUUUUUUUUUUUGUUGGGUCAGUGUGCAUCAGAUCUGGAAAAGGAGGUGUUUCCUUUGUACUUUGUGUAUGGUCUGAGUUGUGUGCUGCUGCUGAUUAACCACUCCGAAUUGUUUGCUGCAUUUAAUUGAUUGCAUGUGUGUUCUGUUCUGUAAAUGGGAAUUCCCUAAAAUAAGAGCUGUGCUAAAACAAUGUGCACGUUGCCCUUAUGGUGUCAUUAUUUACUUUCCGGCUAUCAACUGCUACAAGUUCUCUUGCUUUAGGAAAACGCCCUUUAAGACAGUCUUGUUUUUGUGAUGCCACUGAUAACAUAACGAUUUAUCAGCUUUUCAAUAUUACUUUUGUGCAGAAGUCUGAGAGGUGGCUUUUCUUUCAGAGACGAAUUAAAAACUUAAAAGCUCUUGUA